AAAACUAUUCGCCAGAGUACUACUCGCAACUGCCUAAAACUCAAAGGACUUGGCGGUGCUUCACAUCCACCUAGAGGAGCCUGUUCUAUAAUCGAUAAACCCCGAUAGACCUUACCAACCCUUGCCAAUUCAGCCUAUAUACCGCCAUCUUCAGCAAACCCUAAAAAGGAACAAUAGUAAGCACAAUCAUAACACAUAAAAACGUUAGGUCAAGGUGUAGCUUAUGGGUUGGAAAGAAAUGGGCUACAUUUUCUACAUAAGAACACCCACCAUACGAAAGUUUUUAUGAAACUAAAAACCAAAGGAGGAUUUAGCAGUAAAUCAAGAAUAGAGUGCUUGAUUGAAUAAGGCCAUGAAGCACGCACACACCGCCGGUCACCCU
rnacentral:rRNA from 1 species